rnacentral:tRNA from 1 species
GCAUUGUUGGUUCAGUGGUAGAAUUCUAGCCUUCCAUGUGGGGGAUGUGGGUUCAAUUCCCAGACACUAUA